CAGUCGCCGCGGGAAUACAGAGGGUGCAAGCGUUAAUCGGAUUUACUGGGCGUAAAGGGCGCGUAGGUGGUUAUUUAAGUGAGAUGCGAAAGCCCCGGGCUUAACCUGGGAACUGCAUCUUAUACUGGGUAACUGGAGUGCAGUAGAGGGUAGUGGAAUUUCCGGUGUAGCGGUGAAAUGCGUAGAUAUCGGAAGGAACACCAGUGGCGAAGGCGGCUACCUGGACUGAGACUGACGCUGAGGUGCGAAAGCGUGGGGAGCAAACAGGAUUAGAUACCCGUGUAGUCCCUGUCUCUUAUAC
rnacentral:rRNA from 1 species